rnacentral:lncRNA from 1 species
ACAGUGUCCCCAAGAUGUACGUCUCAGCCAGGACCCCCAGAGCAGCCAGAAAAAGAGAUUGAGAGAAGCACACAGCCCCUCCCCAAGAUCCAGAUGUCAGCCACCACACCUGGCCUGCCACACUUCCUUGAUGCUAUUGACAUUUAUAAUAGCAAGCAGGUUUUCUCCCUUUGGGUCCGGAGAUCAGAGUUCUUUGUUGGGAUUGAAAGCAUGAACGUGUCAUUUGAUGGGGCUUUGGACAGUGGUCAUGACGUGAAGAAUUAGGAAGCCAUAGGCUGGGAGGCAAGCCCAGGGACAUGACCUGCAGAGGAAGGCCCAUGCACCUGCCACCAGGCAUCGAAGACCUCAAGGCCAUUCUCCGGUGAACCCAGGGGUGACAGACUGAACAGUGAAUUGCCAAGACCGAGGGCUGAUCUGCUCUACAGAUGUCUCCUGCAGACUCCAAAGCAUUCUAUAACCUAUUCUAACCACGGGUAAGUGAGUUAUCCAGCUGUUGGUCUUGGGGAUUCAGCAGGCAAGCAUAUGCCACUUUUAUGUUCCCUUGAAGGCCACAUGUGUCCACAGGCCUAGGUCUAG